UACGGAGGGGGCUAGCGUUGUUCGGAAUUACUGGGCGUAAAGGGCGCGUAGGCGGCACUGCAAGUUGGGCGUGAAAGACCCGGGCUCAACCUGAGAGGUGCGUUCAAAACUGCAGUGCUUGAGACCGGAAGAGGUGGGUGGAAUUCCCAGUGUAGAGGUGAAAUUCGUAGAUAUUGGGAAGAACACCAGUGGCGAAGGCGGCUCACUGGUCCGGUUCUGACGCUGAGGCGCGAAAGCGUGGGGAGCAAACAGG
rnacentral:misc_RNA from 1 species